CAUAGCCGCUGGAAAAGUCCAUUGAAAUAUUUGUUGAUCUCAACAUCAGUUUACCCAUGAAAUUAAAUGUCAUUCAAGGAAAAAAGCAUAUAGGAGAUUUCACCAGUUUUCUAAUCAGUUCGUUUCGGCAAGCCAAACAGGCAACAACAUCCCAAAUUUUCUGUGUAGUUUCAGAUUUUUGUUUGAUUUUCAAUUUACCCCGGAUCCUUCAAAAUGUGUGGACCUUGCUGUGGAGGAGGAUGCUGUUCACCUUGCGUGAGUCCUUGUUGCGCCCCGUGCUGUAGUCCAUGUUGCGGUCCCUGCUAUGGCCCCAAUGUUUGUGGACCCUGCUGCGCUACUGGACCAUGUGGUGGUUGCUACAGUUGCUGGCCAGGUUGUUGAGCAAAAGGCGCGUGUGUCCACCAUUAAACAUGAGGACCGCUUGGAGAUCAUCAAAAAUUUGAAGCAAUUAUAAACUAAAAAUAAAAUUCGCGCGAAUUUUACAAAA